ACAACCAAUUAAUGUCCAACAAAAAGAUCAGAAGGAGCAAACACACACGCACACACUACUGAAGCUGAGGUACCGAUCACCGCCUCGCCUCCGCCUACCAAAUGGCGGGAGUCUUUUGCAUUCCACCACGUGCUCCACUAACCUCAUCACCAAAGCUAACGACUCUGCGUGGCAUCCGAUGCAACUCAGGCGCACCAGAAAACAAUACAAAGAGAGACACCCCUCAGGUUUUGAGAUUCGUCGUCAGCGUUGCCACCGAGCUUCUCAGAAUUUUUUCUUCCACCACCACCAGGUCGGAUAGAGUGAGUGAGAAACAGAGAAAUGAGGUUUCAGUUUCAUGUGUUGAUGAUGUUCUUACGGUUCUCAAAUCUGAUUAUGAAAAUGCUUAUUUUGUAACAGGGGUCUUUUCUUCUGCAAUUUAUGCUCAAGAUUGUAUCUUUGAGGAUCCAACCAUUAGAUUUCGGGGUAAGGAUUUAUAUGCUCGUAACUUGAAGUUGCUUGUUCCUUUCUUUGAAUCUCCAUCAAUUGGAUUAGAAAAGAUUGAGAAGGAUAUUAAUUCUGAAACAAAUUUUGUGCUAGCAACAUGGAAACUAAGGACCUAUCUGAAGCUGCCAUGGAGGCCUCUCAUUUGCAUUGAUGGGAGCACGAUCUAUGAAUUAGAUAGUGACUUUAAAAUUGUAAGGCAUGCCGAGAGUUGGAGCGUUUCAGCACUUGAAGCAAUUGGCCAGAUAUUCACCCCAAGUUUUGGAAGGUACAGAGGUGACUGAAACCGACAAAUCUUAGACAUCUAAAAAUGACUCGGAAUCCAUAUAUUAUUGCCAUCAGGAACUAUUGCUGAUAAGUAUUGGCAAAAGCAAAACUAACGGGAAGAACCAUACCUCUGUAAUGAUGAUAAGUCACAAAUAUAGGCAUCAAAACAAAGACAUAAAAAAAGAAAAGAAAAAGAAUCCUGUAUGGAGUAUAAUGUGGUAAUGAGAGCUCCUUAUGGUCUGGUCCAGAAAGUCCAAAGCUUUUACGUGAAAGGCUAAUGGGUGAGCCUAUUACAUGCAUGUUCUUGAGGUGAUAGUUUAUAGAGAGAAUCCAAGGUGGUGUUGGGCGAGUAGUUGCGAAUGGUGCAUGCGCGCAUGGUCGGGAUGAUUAAUUACAUAUUCUUUUAGUUAUAAGUUUUGGUAUAAAGUGAUACUGUGGACCCCAUGAACGUACUAGCUACUAGGCCUUUUGAUUUGGUGUCUUUUCAUUUAUUUUCCCCCUUGUUUUUAUGUAUUUGUCUUGAAUGUCCUUUCAACUAUCAUUUAAAGUAUAGUGUGUGAACAUCUAUUUGUAACUUC